GACGAACGCUGGCGGCGUGCUUAACACAUGCAAGUCGAACGGAAAGGCCCUGCUUUUGUGGGGUGCUUGAGUGGCGAACGGGUGAGUAACACGUGAGUAACCUGCCCUUGACUUUCGGAUAACUUCAGGAAACUCGGGCUAAUACCCGAUAGGAUCUCCUGCUGCAUGGUGGGGGUUGGAAAGUUUCGGCGGUUGGGGAUGGACUCGCGGCUUAUCAGCUUGUUGGUCGGGUAGUUGCUUACCAAGGCUUUGACGGGUAGCCGGCCUGAGAGGCUGACCGGGCACAUGGGGACUAAGAUAGGGAGCAGAAGGGAACGGGAGGCAACAGUAGAGAAUAUGGCAAAAUAGGCGGAAGCGGGAGGCAGCGACGCCGCGUGCGGAAUAACGGCCUUCGGGUGGUAAACCGAUGUCGCCUGUGACGAAGCGAGAGUGACGGUAAUGGGUAAAGAAGCAACGGCUAACUACGUG
rnacentral:rRNA from 1 species